GCCCCCAAUGGCACAAAGCGUCAGUACCUCUGGCUGUUAACCAGAAGGUUGGUGGUUUGAGCCCACCCAGAAACA